rnacentral:misc_RNA from 1 species
AUGAAAUGAGUGAUCAAAUAGUUACUAAGUACUAACCAAGUCGGUAUCUUCAACUUGCUUCUAGGCAAGUGAAUUUCAAAAAGUUUAUUGGGAAGAAAACAUUAUUUUUGAGUUGAAUAAAUUUAUUACAUUAGAGCACAAAAACAAUAACUUAAGCAAUCUCAUCUUUUGAUUAACAGGAAAUGAAAACUAUUUAAUAUUUAAAAAGCAUAAGUUUA